CGUCUGGAUCAAAGCAGUUGAUGGGGCUGCUUUAUGAAUAUGUAUUUGGAGGCAUUGAAAUCAUAUAAAGUAACUACAUAUUUAACUGUAAAUGUGUUUUGUAAAUAUUGGAGCCCAUUUAGUAGUGUUGUUACCUCCGACCCUCCUGCUUCGAAGCUUGUGUCGAAAUAUGAACCAGUCCAAGGCGAAGCAAAUGUAUCGAUGCUCGGUUCGUUCGCUGCUGAUCACGUGGUCAGUGACGUCCGAAGCUUCGUUCCUGCGCAGUCCUGUUUAUUUUGAUUGUGGAGACCACCAGAUAUUUGGCUGAACCAAACAUUCCAUGGAGUGAAGACCCGCUAAAAUAUUGGGUCAAACACAAACAUGUGUACCCACAUCUAUUUGUAUUAGCAUGUAAUCUUUUGAGCAUUCCUGCCUCAUCGUGCCGUGUAAGCGCCUUUUUUCUAAAGCUGGGGAAACAGUAUCUAAGAAACCGACUCAAGCCCAAUACUGUGGAGAAAAUUGUGUUUCUCAAUAAAAAUCAAUAAUAAUUUCAUGCCCCAUCCCAUUGUGUCCACAAGCACCUCAAUAUCCUGUCAUAAGUUGAAAAACAAUAGUUUCAUUCAUAUAGGAAUACAUUAAUUCAUUGGAUGAUCUAUUAGCUCAACUUUUCAUAAUCAGAGAUUGGGCCAAAAUAUACUGGUAGGCUAUUCGAUACAUUUGCACUAUAGAUUUUCAACAGCAGAGAUCAUCAUAGAGUUUGCGAUGCAUUGAAUGAAUGAACCUUUUUCCGAUACAAUUGGCUGGAAAGCUUCACUUUGCCAUCACUACCAUUUAGUCCCUCAAAAGAACCUUCGUUUUGGCGUUGAAGGACUGGUUAUAAUGGCAAGACCGUAACACAAGACAAAGUUUUUAAUAGCUUUUAAUCUCCAAGGUCUUGGGAUACCUUUGUCAAAGUUGCUGUGACAAAGUCCCAGGGAGUUUGUCAAAGUAUAGCGUCUUAAAAGUGCAAAAAAUAGAGGGAAUAUUCACAAAAUAUGACUGACUUCCUGUUCAUUUUAGAGCAUGGUCCCAAAAGACUUGUUUUUAAGGCCACCUACAUGUGUUAAAAUAUCACCAUACUUGUAGGUCAAAAGGGGCAGUUGAAAACUGCCAGGGGGCACUAUGUAGGCCAUUUUUUUCAACUCUGUAGUGUCAUUAUCUAGGACACAGACAAAACAUUAAGAGUUUUUGAGUUUUCCAAGGCUCGGAAAUAUCUGAACUGUGAUGCAAAGGCCGUGUUGUUACGGCAACAAAGUUUUUCUAUAACUCCCAAUAAUCAUGGGGAACUAUCAAAGUCUUAAGGCUUUAAUGGAUACAUUUAAAGGUCGAUGGAUUAGAUGGCUAGUAGUAGCACAUUAAAGUGUUCAACUUUUUGCAUUUCCUUAUGCCAAUAGAUGGCGCUAUGAUUCUUUUAAUUACUGCAUGGGACUGCUUUAAGGCCUACACUACCAUCAUGAAGACAUUUUGGCCAGAACUUGGAAUAUUCCUUGGAGUUAUAACAUUUUACAUUUUCAAGAAAAUCCACCAAAAUGGACGCCGGUCCACGUCCAGGUUGUUGAAAACUCUUGAUUUGGAUGACUUUCGACUACACAGGUGUCAGGAUCAGUCUGCCCAAAUUUAAACUCUUGGAGGAGUUCAUUUGUUUGUAAAUCCAAAAUAUGAUAGAAAUUGAAAAAAACAAGCAAGAGAAAACAGUCACAAGCAUCCCGCACAUUCUUGAUCAUUACCUUACUGGAGUCAGCCUGGGUUGCUUUGGAAUGAAAUGAAAUAGCAUUAACCUUCGCUCAGGCCAUAAUAAAUAAAUCAAUAUAGUGCACUGAGGAGCAGAUAACCAUACUCUACACACCUGCGUUGUGACCGUAUGUAAAAGUGACAAGUGUAUGUGAACAGGAAGUGUGAAGGGAGUGACCGCAUGAAAGGGGUCAGGCCCUUUAUGAAUACCUAAGGCGAGAAUGGACUGGGUCAGGUUUGAAAGAGCUGUGGGGGAUGAGGUCGAGACUUUCCGAUUGUCUAUCAAAUCUGCAGUAGAACUCAUUCAUUUUGUCUCGGGUUCUGUGAGUUGGGGGCGGAUAUAUAUAUAUAUGUAUAUAUUUUUUUCAUUUUCAUCUUUGUAAAGCCCCAAACUACUGUAUUUGGAUGUAUUGAACACCAUAAGUGAUGCACAAGUAAAAUAUGUAAUUUUGUACAUGAGAAUUCUUUGUUUUUGUCCAGCAGAUGUCACCAUCUCACCACUAGGGGGGUUGUCAGUGCAUUUUU
ensembl:lncRNA